rnacentral:lncRNA from 1 species
GUCGCCCAGGCUGGAGUGCAAUGGCACAAUCUUGGCUCACCACAACCUUCCGCCUCCUGGCUUCAAGCGAUUCUCCUGCCUCAGCCUCCUGAGUAGCUGGGACUAUAGGCAUGCACCACCAUGCCCGGCUAAUUUUGUAUUUUUAGUAGAGAUGGGGUUUCUGCAUGUUGGUCAGACUGGUCUUGAACUCCCAACCUCAGGUGAUCCGCCUGCCUCGGCCUCCCAAAGUGCUGGGAUUACAGGAGUGAGCCACCACGCCUGGCCU